ensembl:lncRNA
AUUUGCAGUUAAUAAACUUACAGUUCUGCAAAUACUGUAAGUAAAAUAAAUAAAUGACUUCCGUUAUGAAGAACCACAUAUGUGAAUGUCACUGUGAGGAGACAGCAUGUAUUUAUUUGUGAUUUAUAAUGAAUUUGAUUCUUAACGAUGGAUAUAUAACAAUGAGGGAGGAGCUGAAAUAGGAAGAAAUAAAGAAAAAAAAAUGAGCUCAUUACUGCAAUGCUUCUGACUUAAGGUCUGGCCCAUGAAUGGAAUACAUGGCAAGGAGGAAUACGUUUGGAAUUUCACCCCAGUGAAACAGAGCUUUUUCUAGGAAUCAGCCAAUGGAACAGGUGUUGAGCGGCAUGCAGAAGUGGCACCAGAACUCACAUCACAAAUAACGUGAAUCCUUCAUAACAAAUCCUGUUGACUGUAUCAUCUGUACCUUCAUCACUAGUGAUUGUCAUGAUUGUAACAACACUGGCUUUUUAAUUAUCAUAUCAAGAUACUACCAGUACUAAAUUGAAAGUAGCAGAUAAUCCAGUGUCCCAGAGAAGGUUUUCUUUUCGUGAUUUGAGAUUCAGGCAGAUACUUCCACAUUAAGUUCUUUCUUUUUUUGUUCACAGCUAUGAGAGCCAGAGGUUGAAUCUUUAAAAACUUUAAAAACAAAUUGCAGAGAGAAAUAUGGCACCCUUAAAAAUAUUACAAGUUCACUGACCUAAUACUGGUAGGACAAGUUUGAGCCUUGAACUUAUUCCUCAGAAAGAAGGCUUACUGGAGGACUGUUGAGAUAAAAUCACAUUUUUAAGGCACAAAAAAAAUGGAAAAAUGAAAGGAGAGUCACAAAAGCUUUGUACUGGUCCCAAGAAGAAAUAAGGGUCUGAGAAGACAUGAGAUAAACUGACUCAUAGAAUCACAGAAUUAUAGAAUCCUUAGAGUUGGAAGGGACCUCUAAAAGUCAUCUAGUCCUACAACCCUUCCAUGAACAGGGACAUAUACAGCUAGAUGAAGUUGCUCAGAGGCUGGUCCAGCCUUGAAUACCUUCAGGGACAGGGACUCCAUCACAUCUCUGGGUAACCUGUGACAGUGCCUCAACACUCUCACUGGAAAAUACAUUUUCCUUACAUCCAACCUAAAUCUACCCUCUUUUAAGUUUAAAAUCAUUUCCUCUUGUUCUAUCACAACUGACCAUGCUAAAGAGCCUGCCCCCUCCCUUCUUAUAGACCCCUUUAGGUACUGAGAGGCUGCUCUCAGGUCUCCACAGAGCCUUCUCUUCUCCAGGCUGAUCAGCCUCAGCUCUCUCAGCCUGUCCUUGUAGGGCAGGUGUUCCAUCCUUUGGAUCACUUCUGUGGCCUUUCUCUGGGCUCUGUACAGAGUAGAGAGGCAGGAUCAUCUCCCUCACCCUCCUGGCCACACUUUUUUUGAUGCAGCCCAGGAUACAGUUGGCUUUCUGGGCUGUGAGGGCAUACUGCUGACUCAUGUCAGGCUUCCCAUCCACCAGUACCCCCAUGUCCUUUUCUGACUCACUAAAGUCAGAAGAUAAAAGCGAGGAAACUUUGAAGAUGGAGGGAGUUUCUCUAAGGACAGGUCUUACUGAAUUUUCUUCAUUGUAAAACAAAAUAUGUAAAAAUAAUACCAUAUGCUGAUGACAUGAGAUACUGUCAAUAUAACAAAGGAUUAAACUGCCUUACAGAAUGAACUGGAAUACCUUGAGACUGUAAGCAAUGGAAAUCAAAGGAAAUAAUACUACAGACAUGUUACAAAAUAUUACAGAACGCAAAGUCAUGCUUCAAGAGUAUUGCUAUGAAGAAUUUCUGUUGACAUGUAAUUCACCAGCUGGAAACAACAGAGGAUAAGAAAGUUAAGUGACUGUACUAAUUGAGAACAUUAAAAACCUCAAAGCAAGAUAUAUACGUGUAAAAGCUAACCAACAGUGUAUCUUAAAAGGUUUCCUCCACUCAUGUUUCUUCAGGAAAAGGCAAAUAUGAAUCCAUAUACACUGUGUGUACACUUCUGGAUGGCCAUGUUCAAGAGAGAAAUACUGACAUUAAAACAUACAUAGAAAUGGUAGGGUAAAUAUUAGACUUACAACAUAACAGAAGUCAAGAAAAACUUGAAGCGUGCAGUCUAGAAAAGUAAAGCUGAGUUGUAUCAAUGGAGGUAUAUAAACACUGGGAAAGGAAAAAAGCCAGGUACAAAGAAGGACAUUUAUUUUUAUUUUUAUUUUUAUUUUUAUUUAUUUAUUUAUUUAUUUAUUGUGAAGGACAAUGUUAGCACAGGAGCAAAGACAAUUUUCACUGUAUAUGGACAAAUAUGACUAUACGUUAGGGAGAAGUUUUUUGUGUGUUUUUAGAAAUAAUCACUCUUGCAGAAGUACCAAGGCAUGGAUAUCUUUCCAAAAUAAACGAAGGAGAAGCUGACAAAUAUAACAUACAAACAUCAGCUUCAGUAACUAAACCAAGGAACAGGAAUGCUAGAGGAUAAGAGGAGGAAUCCUUUCUCUCCAAGUACAGUUCUAUCAAAAUCUGUAGUAACAAC